rnacentral:rRNA from 1 species
GGGGAAUAUUGCACAAUGGGGGAAACCCUGAUGCAGCGACGCCGCGUGGAGGAAGAAGGUCUUCGGAUUGUAAACUCCUGUUGUUGAGGAAGAUGAUGACGGUACUCAACAAGGAAGUGACGGCUAACUACGUGCCAGCAGCCGCGGUAAAACGUAGGUCACAAGCGUUGUCCGGAAUUACUGGGUGUAAAGGGAGCGCAGGCGGGAAGACAAGUUGGAAGUGAAAUCUAUGGGCUCAACCCAUAAACUGCUUUCAAAACUGUUUUUCUUGAGUAGUGCAGAGGUAGGCGGAAUUCCCGGUGUAGCGGUGGAAUGCGUAGAUAUCGGGGAGGAACACCAGUGGCGAAGGCGGCCUACUGGGCACCAACUGACGCUGAGGCUCGAAAGUGUGGGUAGCAAACAGGAUUAGAUACCCUGGUAGUCCACACCGUAAACGAUGAUUACUAGGUGUUGGAGGAUUGACCCCUUCAGUGCCGCAGUUAACACAAUAAGUAAUCCACCUGGGGAGUACGACCGCAAGGUUGAAACUCAAAGGAAUUGACGGGGGCCCGCACAAGCAGUGGAGUAUGUGGUUUAAUUCGACGCAACGCGAAGAACCUUACCAAGUCUUGACAUCCUGCGACGAUGCUGGAAACAGUAUUUUCCUUCGGGACGCAGAGACAGGUGGUGCAUGGUUGUCGUCAGCUCGUGUCGUGAGAUGUUGGGUUAAGUCCCGCAACGAGCGCAACCCUUACUGUCAGUUACUACGCAAGAGGACUCUGGCAGGACUGCCGUUGACAAAACGGAGGAAGGUGGGGAUGACGUCAAAUCAUCAUGCCCUUUAUGACUUGGGCUACACACGUACUACAAUGGCGUUAAACAAAGAGAAGCAAGACCGCGAGGUGGAGCAAAACUCAGAAACAACGUCCCAGUUCGGACUGCAGGCUGCAACUCGCCUGCACGAAGUCGGAAUUGCUAGUAAUCGUGGAUCAGCAUGCCACGGUGAAUACGUUCCCG